UACGUAGGGUGCAAGCGUUGUCCGGAAUUAUCGGGCGUAAAGAGCUCGUAGGCGGUCUGUCGCGUCGGCUGUGAAAACUCGGGGCUCAACUCCGAGCUUGCAGUCGAUACGGGCAGGCUAGAGUUCGGCAGGGGAGACUGGAAUUCCUGGUGUAGCGGUGAAAUGCGCAGAUAUCAGGAGGAACACCGGUGGCGAAGGCGACUUCUUGGCCUGUUCUUGACGCUGAGGCGCGAAAGCUGGGGGAGCAAACGGG
rnacentral:rRNA from 1 species